CUGGAGGGGAGAAAACAUCAGUUGUGAAGAAGAUCUUGACGGGGGAAGGUCGUGUGUUAUUUCCUGCGAAAAAUGGCCGAAAUACUGUAUAAUGGGAUGUGGAAUCGGCAUUUGACUGGACGUCUCUCACUGCUGUGGUGGUUGCUGCACUGCCUGAUGGGAUUUGCCUUUUUGGUGGCAAAAGUAAUACUAGAGGUUACCUGCAGCUCCAUGAUUUGACUGUGAAUUGGCAGCUCACCUGAUACCUUCUGCUGCUCCCACCAUGUGCUAAGCUGUGUUGGCUGUGUUGUAGAUGAAUGGUUCAGAGAACCGACACGUUGAUAAAUUAGACACGUGCAACUCUUGGGUAUCUUUAUUGAGGAAACAUUUUGCCACACAGUGGCUUCAUAAGAACAUAAGAAAGGAGGAUCACUGCAGCAGGCCUGUUGGCCCAUACUAAGCAGGUCCUUUAUAAUCCAUCCCACUAACAAAACACAUGCCCAACCUAAUUUUCAAUGCUACCCAAGAAAUAAUCUCUUGAUAACUCUAUCCACUCAUUUGCAAGUCCCACUCAAAUCCAACCCCUCUCACUCAUAUAUUUCUUUCUUUCAACACACCAGCCGCAUCCCACCAAGGCAGGGUGGCCCAAAAAGAAAACCGAAAGUUUCUCUUAAAUUUAGUAAUUUAUACGGGAGGAGGGGUUACUAGCCCCUUGAUCCCGGCAUUUUAGUCGCCUCUUACAACACGCAUGGCUUACGGAGGAAGAAUUCUGUACCACUUCCCCAUGGAGAUAAGAGGAAAUAAACAAGAACAGGAACUAGAAAGAAAAUAGAAGAAAAUCCAGAGGGGUGUGUGUAUAUAUAUGCUUGUACAUGUAUGUAUAGUGUGACCUAAGUGUAAGUAGAAGUAGCAAGACAUACCUGAAAUCUUGCAUGUUUAUGAGACAGACAAAAGACACCAGCGAUCGUACCAUCGUGUAAAACAAUUACAGGUUUUCAUUGUACACUCACUUGGCAGGACGGUAGUACCUCCCUGGGCAGUUGCUGUUUACCAACCUAUUACCUAGGACUCUUAUGUUUAUCCAACCUAAAUUUGAAACUACCCAAAGUCCUAGCCUCAAUAACCCAACUAGGUAGACUGUUCCACUCAUCAACUAUCCUAUUUCCAAACCAAUACUUUCCUAUGUCCUUUGUAAAUCUAAACUUGUCUAAUUUAAAUCCAUUACUGCAGGUUCUCUCUCGGAGAGAUAUCCUCAAGACCUUAUUAAUAUCCUCUUUAUUAAUACCCAUCUUCCACUUAUACACUUUGAUCAUGUCUCCCGUCAUUCUUCGUCUAACAAGUGAAUGUAAUUUAAGAGUUUUCAAUCUUUCUUCAUAAGGAAGAUUUCUAAUGCUAUGUAUUAAUUUAGUCAUUCUACGCUGAAUGUUUUCUAACGAAUUUAUGUCCAUUAUGUAAUACGGAGACCAGAACUGAGCUGCAUAAUCUAGGUGAGGCCUUACUAAUGAUGUAUAAAGCUGCAGUAUGACCUCUGGACUUCUGUUGCUUACACUUCUUGAUAUAAAUCCCAAUAAUCUAUUUGCCUUAUUACGUACGCUUAGGCACUGCUGUCUUGGUUUAAAGUUGCUGCUUACCAUAACCCCCAAGUCCUUUUCGCAAUCUGUAUGGCUAAGUUCUACAUUAUUUAACUUAUAAGUGCUAGGGUUAUGGACACUGCCAAGCUUCAGAACCUUGCAUUUAUCUACAUUGAACUGCAUCUGCCACUUUUCUGACCAAGAAUAGAGAUUGUCUAAAUCCUGAAGUUCCCUAACAUCUAUGUUUGAAUCAAUUAUCCUACCUAUCUGUGUCAUCGGCGAAUUUGAUCAUAUCACUCAUAUCAUCAAGGUCAUUGAUAUAUACAGUACAUGCAUUAUAAACAACAAAGGGCCUAAGACUGAUUCCUGUGGCACGCCACUUGUUACAGAUCCCCACUCGAAUUUAACCCCAUUUAUGGACACACUGCUUCCUGUCUGUGAACCAUGACUCGAUCCACGAGAGCACUUUUCCCUGAAUGCCAUGAGCUGCCACUUUCUUUAACAGUCUUUGGUGCAGAACUCUAUCAAAAGCCUUGCUAAAAUCUAAGUAAAUAAUAUCAAAUUCUUUAUCAUGAUCAACAGCCUCAAAAGCUUUACUGAAGAAAGUUAAUAACUUAGUUAGACAAGAACGGCCUCUCGUUAAUCUAUGCUGAGUAUCAUUAAUCAGAUUAUGCUUAUCCAGAUGGCUUCUUAUAAUCUCAGCUAUAAUUGACUAGCAAUUUGCCUACAAUUGAGGUCAGGCUUAUUGGGCGCUAAUUUGACGGUAAUGACUUAUCCCCUGAUUUAAAAAUGGGAAUUACGUUAGCCAUCUUCCACAUAUCAGACAGUAUACCUGUUUGAAGAGAUAAAUUAAAAAUAUUAGUUAAUGGUUCACAGAGUUCUAUUUUGCAUUCCUUAAGAACCCUUGAAAAAAGCUCAUCAGGUCCCGGCGACUUAUUUUGCUUCAGUCUGUCUAUUUGUUUCAUAAUCAUUUCAUUAGCGACUGUGAUGUUACAUAAUUUAUCUUCUUCAGGCCCACUAUAAAAAUUAAUUACUGGGAUAUUGUUAGUGUCUUUCUUUGUAAAAACCAAGAGAAAAUAAUUAUUUAAAAUUGAGCACAUUUCAUUCUCUUUGUCAGUAAGAUGCCCAUAGUUAUUUUUAAGGGGACCUAUCUUAUCUCUGACUUUUGUUCUAUAUACCUGGAAAAAACUUUUUGGGUUAGUUUUCGAAUCCCUGGCAACUUUAAUUUCAUAGUCCCAUUUAGCUUUUCUUAUCCCCUUUUUAACUUCCCUCUUAAUGUCAAUAUACUGAUUCAUAAGAUGACUCUCACCUCUUUUGAUAAGCCUAUAAAUUUCUUAUGCCCUAAAAGAUAUUUGAGCCUAUUAUUCAUCCAUUUUGGAUAAUUUCUGCUUGAUCUAAUUUCUUUAUACGGGAUAAAUGUUCUUUGGGCAGCAUGUAUAGUGUUCAGAAAACUGUCAUAUUGAUAGCUCUCUUCGUUACCCCAGUCAACAGAUGAUAAGUGUUCUCUAAGCCCAUCGUAAUCUGCUAAGCGAAAAUCUGGAACUGUAACUGAGUUAUCCCUACUAUCAUACUUCCAUUCAAUGCUAAAUGUAAUUGAUUUGUGGUCGCUAGCACCAAGUUCCUCUGAAAUUUCUAAAUUAUUAACAAGGGAUUCAUUGUUUGCCAGAACUAAGUCAAGCAGGUUAUUUCCCCUUGUAGGCUGUCACAAACGGCUUCAAAAAACAAUCCUGAACUGCUUCUAAGAAGUCGUUUGAU